rnacentral:rRNA from 1 species
CGGGGUGAGUAACACGUGGAUAACCUACCUAUAAGACUGGGAUAACUUCGGGAAACAGGAGCUAAUACCGGAUAAUAUAUUGAACCGCAUGGUUCAAUAGUGAAAGACGGUUUUGCUGUCACUUAUAGAUGGAUCCGCGCCGCAUUAGCUAGUUGGUAAGGUAACGGCUUACCAAGGCAACGAUGCGUAGCCGACCUGAGAGGGUGAUCGGCCACACUGGAACUGAGACACGGUCCAGACUCCUACGGGAGGCAGCAGUG